CUUCUUAAAUAUAAUAACAGGUGUAUCUCAAAUAAAUGUAAUAAUAAAGUUCAAUUCAAUUAUUUAAUUAAACCAAAACUGGUUCAGAGCAUCUAAAACCAGAGAUAAAAUAAUCCAAGUCUUACAAUUUAUAAUGACUACAAUCCAAAAACAUAAACUGAAUUCCUAGAGCAAAAUUUCUAAACUUGCUUUGCUGAUCUCCAAGCCUGGAUUCUCUUUCCUUCGAUCCUAGCCUUAUUUCUCUGUACAUGAAAGAGAAAACAAAAAGAAUAUGAGCUACACUAGCUCAGUAAGUAGACUUCCGCUUUCUUAUCGGAUCAAGCAUAAGUUUUCUAUGAUAAUGCAUCAUUUAGCAAAUAACAAUUAUUGCAAAAAUAAAUAUUUCAUAGAGCAUAUAAUAAAACAAGUUAUAAGCUCAUCAU
rnacentral:lncRNA from 1 species